rnacentral:rRNA from 1 species
UACGGAGGGGGCAAGCGUUGUUCGGAAUUACUGGGCGUAAAGGGCGCGCAGGCGGCUGCUCAAGUCAGGCGUGAAAGGCCUGGGCUCAACCCGGGAAUUGCGCUUGAGACUGGGCUGGCUUGAGUGCGGGAGAGGAUGGUGGAAUUCCCAGUGUAGAGGUGAAAUUCGUAGAUAUUGGGAAGAACACCGGUGGCGAAGGCGGCCAUCUGGACCGCAACUGACGCUGAGGCGCGAAAGCGUGGGUAGCAAACAGG